GACGAACGCUGGCGGCGUGCCUAAUACAUGCAAGUCGAGCGAAGUUUUUCUGGUGCUUGCACCGGAAAAACUUAGCGGCGAACGGGUGAGUAACACGUAAAGAACCUACCUCAUAGACUGGGACAACUAUUGGAAACGAUAGCUAAUACCGGAUAACAGCAUUAACUGCAUGGUUGAUGUUUAAAAGUUGGUUUUGCUAACACUAUGAGAUGGCUUUGCGGUGCAUUAGCUAGUUGGUGGGGUAAAGGCCUACCAAGGCGACGAUGCAUAGCCGACCUGAGAGGGUGAUCGGCCACACUGGGACUGAGACACGGCCCAGACUCCUACGGGAGGCAGCAGUAGGGAAUCUUCCGCAAUGGGCGAAAGCCUGACGGAGCAACGCCGCGUGAGUGAAGAAGGAUUUCGGUUCGUAAAGCUCUGUUGUUAGGGAAGAAUGAUUGUGUAGUAACUAUACACAGUAGAGACG
rnacentral:rRNA from 1 species